rnacentral:rRNA from 1 species
CGGCUAACUCCGUGCCAGCAGCCGCGGUAAUACGGAGGAUCCAAGCGUUAUCCGGAAUCAUUGGGUUUAAAGGGUCCGUAGGUGGACUAUUAAGUCAGAGGUGAAAUCCUGCAGCUCAACUGUAGAACUGCCUUUGAUACUGUUUGUCUUGAGUUAUUAUGAAGUGGUUAGAAUGUGUAGUGUAGCGGUGAAAUGCAUAGAUAUUACACAGAAUACCGAUUGCGAAGGCAGAUCACUAAUAAUUUACUGACACUGAUGGACGAAAGCGUGGGUAGCGAACAGGAUUAGAUACCCUGGUAGUCCACGCCGUAAACGAUGGUCACUAGCUGUUUG